GAUGAACGCUAGCGGCAGGCCUAACACAUGCAAGUCGAGGGGUAGGGCAGCAAUGCCUGAGACCGGCGCACGGGUGCGUAACGCGUAUGCAACCUACCUUUUACAGGGGAAUAGCCCAGAGAAAUUUGGAUUAAUGCCCCAUGGUAUAUUUGAGUGGCAUCACUUGAUUAUUAAAGUUCCAACGGUAAAAGAUGGGCAUGCGUCCUAUUAGCUAGAUGGUAAGGUAACGGCUUACCAUGGCUACGAUAGGUAGGGGUCCUGAGAGGGAGAUCCCCCACACUGGUACUGAGACACGGACCAGACUACUACGGGAGGCAGCAGUGAGGAAUAUUGGACAAUGGGCGCAAGCCUGAUCCAGCCAUGCCGCGUGCAGGAAGAAGCAUCUAUGGUGUGUAAACUGCUUUUGUACGGGAAGAAACACCCCUUCGUGAAGGGACUUGACGGUACCGUAAGAAUAAGGAUCGGCUAACUCCGUGCCAGCAGCCGCCGUAAUAC
rnacentral:rRNA from 1 species